rnacentral:rRNA from 1 species
UACGUAGGCAGCAAGCGUUGUUCGGAAUUACUGGGCGUAAAGAGUGUGUAGGCGGUGCUCUAAGUUCGGUGUGAAAUCUCCCGGCUUAACUGGGAGGGUGCGCCGGAAACUGGAGUGCUUGAGCGCGGGAGAGGAAAGCGGAAUUCCUGGUGUAGCGGUGAAAUGCGUAGAUAUCAGGAGGAACACCGGUGGUGUAGACGGCUAUCUGGACCGUAACUGACGCUGAGGCACGAAAGCGUGGGUAGCAAACAGG